CAGUAAUAUAUGCAGCAGCUUCUGGAUGGCAUUCUUAGAAUCUCACGUGAUGGCAAAUUAUAUUUAGGGUUGCAGUGGCACAGAUCCCAGCAAACAAGUGUCACUUUAAUGGUCACAUCAGACUUAGGCUCCUACAGGGUGAGCAAAGAGCCCAGCCCAGCCCCCAUUCUAUGCAAAGAACAAGUGCUAUCAGCAACUACGUAUCAGCCCAGGGCAGGACAAUGGUCCGUCCCAUCUCCUCUGCUAUGGUUUUAUUAUCUUGCCCAGGACACACAGGCCAGCUCUCUUUGCAGAGUUCAGAUGUAUAUCCUGACCAGAGGGGGGAGGCACGUUUUUGGCUGAACUAUCUUUCUGUAAAGUGGGAUUGCCACCAUGUGAGUGGCCUGCAAAUGACUCUUUUUCUCAAAUGGACGAGGAGGAUACACAUAUAAAACUCUCCCCAUAUUAUCAACUCUAAAGCUUUGGAGUCAAAUCUUUGGUGUCUGACUCAGAAAGAUCUCCCACACAUCGUCACCAGCUUAAGAGCUGGCCUUCUCUCACUCGGCAGAAGGUUCCUGGCACCUGGAUCCAUGUUAACACACCAUCCAAAGGCCUAAUCUAGGUCUCAAGUCACCCGGGACACGUGCCAA